rnacentral:rRNA from 1 species
AGUGAACGCUGGCGGUAGGCCUAACACAUGCAAGUCGAACGGCAGCACAGUAAGAGCUUGCUCUUACGGGUGGCGAGUGGCGGACGGGUGAGGAAUACAUCGGAAUCUACUUUUUCGUGGGGGAUAACGUAGGGAAACUUACGCUAAUACCGCAUACGACCUACGGGUGAAAGCAGGGGAUCUUCGGACCUUGCGCGAUUGAAUGAGCCGAUGUCGGAUUAGCUAGUUGGCGGGGUAAAGGCCCACCAAGGCGACGACCCGUAGCUGGUCUGAGAGGAUGAUCAGCCACACUGGAACUGAGACACGGUCCAGACUCCUACGGGAGGCAGCAGUGGGGAAUAUUGGACAAUGGGCGAAAGCCUGAUCCAGCCAUACCGCGUGGGUGAAGAAGGCCUUCGGGUUGUAAAGCCCUUUUGUUGGGAAAGAAAAGCAGCAGGUUAAUACCCCGCUGUUCCGACGGUACCCAAAGAAUAAGCACCGGCUAACUUCGUG